rnacentral:rRNA from 1 species
GUGAGGAAUAUUGGUCAAUGGACGGAAGUCUGAACCAGCCAUGCCGCGUGCAGGAAUAAGGUCCUAUGGAUUGUAAACUGCUUUUAUUCGGGAAUAAACCUCUUUACGUGUAGGGAGCUGAAGGUACCGAAGGAAUAAGCACCGGCUAACUCCGUGCCAGCAGCCGCGGUAAUACGGAGGGUGCAAGCGUUAUCCGGAAUCAUUGGGUUUAAAGGGUCCGCAGGCGGGCUAUCAAGUCAGAGGUGAAAUCCCACAGCUUAACUGUGGAACUGCCUUUGAAACUGAUGGUCUUGAAUUAAGUGGGCGUUGGCGGAAUAUGACAUGUAGCGGUGAAAUGCAUAGAUAUGUCAUGGAACACCGAAAGCGAAGGCAGCUAACGAUACUUAUAUUGACGCUCAUGGACGAAAGCGUGGGUAGCGAACAGGAUUAGAUACCCCUGUAGUCC